CACGCCUUUAAUCCCAGCACUCAGGAGGCAGAGCCAGGCGGAUCUCUAUCCAGAUGUGGAACUCUUGGCUACCUCUCCAUCACCAUGUCUGUUGGCAUUCUACCAUGAGUCCCACCAUGACAAUGACGGACUAAACUUCUGAACUUGAGUUGUUCUCUAAACAAGAAACAGCAUUUGAGAUGAAAUUUGCAAAACGACAAGAUACUUUUAAGCCCAUCUUGAAGAAAAUUACCUGGAAACUGAAACACUCUAAUAAUCAUAGGAAAUCAAGAGCCUGUGGCUAGACCCAAGGACUUACUUGAAAUUAAAGACAAAAACGAGUUUAUGGACCAACUGCACCCUACCUGAUGGCAGCAUGGACUCCAGAGAUGGCAGCGUCCUGCUUCACAGAGGGUACUGCCAAUUAUUUUAUGGGAAACAGGGAGAAGUAACUAAAAAAGUCUAGGCCUAUUGGCUGAAGAUAGAUGUCCCAAUGUUACAGAGGAACUUUGGAUGACUGUCGAGUGGUCUCCUUCUGCUGCGAAGUGAAGCGUCCUUGAUGAGAAGUGAAGACUGCAUUUAUCUGUGGGUAUAAGGACACAUAUUUAUAGACUGUUGUUUGGGAAGAAGUUAUACCCCUAAGUUUCACCAACAUGAGCCUGCCAAAACAUUAGCUGAAGAAAGGUCGUGAGGCCUCAACCCCACAUAGAAAUAUAGGCAACUAAGUAACAUAUAUGCAUAAAAUAGCAAUUAAUGAAAGCAGGACAUUGACUUGAAAGAGACAAAAGAAGAAUAUCUGGGAGGGUUUGGAAAGUAGGAAGGGAAGUGAGAAAUGUUGCAAUUAAAUUAUAAUCUCAAAAGUAAACAAAAGAAUAACAACAAAAGUAAGUGUCUCCGGGUUCCUGAGAGGCAACAGAUUAAUACCAAUAGAUAAUAAUGUAGAGAACACCUGUAAAAUUUUGAAUGUGAGCAGUACUUCAUGCUCAAAAUUUGCUCAAUGAUUAUUGAACCACAAUAAAAUCUUGUUACAUGUGAUCCAUAAAUUGGUUGCUUAAAGCUUCCUGCUUCUGAUCUUUGUCAGUGCCACAGUCAGAAGGCAUGGAUCUAGUGAUCUAGCACCCUAUUGUCUCAGCAUUCUAUACCUUCUUUUCUAAACAAAAAAGACAAAAAAAAUAAAGUAAAAAAGCUGAUACAUAUUCUAGAUCUGCUUUUUUGUUUUGUUUUGUUUUGUUUAUGUUUAUGUUUAACUAUAAAGAUAAUGGUUAGUCACAACAAAGUACAGAUUUUAGCUUCUUCCAUAAAAUCAAGCUCACUGAUACAUUUAUAUUACAUGAGGCUAGAAUCUGGAACAAUGAUGCAUGCUGUAUGGAGUGCCAAUUUUAAAAUUACAUAGAACCACAUCUAGAUUGUUAUUGGUACUUUAGUAUUUAUAUUUGUAGAUGGGAAAUCAAUUGUCAUUUUGACCAAUUUUUCAGAGUAUUGAAAACCUCCUGUGCUUCAUUUUUAUUGAUACCAUUUUAUUCUUGGUUGACAAAGGUUUUAAAAGUUUAGUUUCCAGCUUUCAAAAUCAUCAAAUCAAAGAAAACACUUAAUGAUACUUUAAAAAGGAAAAGUAGAUAAAACAAUUUUUGAAUAUUUUUAUUUUUAGUUCUUACUUAAAAUUUUUCAUUCAUAAUAUUCCUCUCUCCCAGCUACUAGAUCCCUCCAAACUUUUACCUGCCACACUCAACUUUAUGUUCUCUCUGUCUCCCCCCCCCUCUCUGUCUCUCUUGCUGUCUUAAGAAACAAAAACUCCCUGAAAAUAAAUGUGUAACCUAAAGCUACCAGAGAGUGUUUAUUUACUUGUCUGUUAUUACUUAUUACUCUCCCUAAAGAUGAAAACUCUAGGACAGUAGGGGGCUAGAAAAAUGACUGGCAUAUAAAGUAAUUUGUGGAAAAAAUGCCUGUGUGAAUACUUUGAAAAAGUUUGGAA